AACGAACGCUGGCGGCACGCUUAACACAUGCAAGUCGAACGCCCCACAAGGGGAGUGGCAGACGGGUGAGUAACGCGUGGGAAGCUACCCACAUCUUUGUAACAACUGCGGGAAAUUCCAGCUACUACCGGCUACGUACUCCGGGGGAAAGAAUUAUCGGUUCUGUAUGAGCACGCGUUGGAUUAGCUAGCUGGUGGUGUAAUGGCCUACCAAGGCGACGAUCCAUAGCUGGUCUGAGAGGAUGAUCAGCCACACUGGGACUGAGACACGGUCCAGACUCCUACGGGAGGCAGCAGUGGGGAAUAUUGGACAAUGGGCGAAAGCCUGAUCCAGACAUGCCGCGUGAGUGAUGAAGGCCUUAGGGUUGUAAAGCUCUUUCAGUGGGGAAGAUAAUGACGGUACCCACAGAAGAAGCCCCGGCUAACUUCGUGCCAGCCGCCGCCGUAACAC
rnacentral:rRNA from 1 species